rnacentral:rRNA from 1 species
CAGUAGCCGCGGUAAUACGUAGGGUCCGAGCGUUGUCCGGAAUUACUGGGCGUAAAGAGCUCGUAGGUGGUUUGUCGCGUUGUUCGUGAAAACUCACAGCUUAACUGUGGGCGUGCGGGCGAUACGGGCAGACUAGAGUACUGCAGGGGAGACUGGAAUUCCUGGUGUAGCGGUGGAAUGCGCAGAUAUCAGGAGGAACACCGGUGGCGAAGGCGGGUCUCUGGGCAGUAACUGACGCUGAGGAGCGAAAGCGUGGGGAGCGAACAGGAUUAGAUACCCCCGUAGUCCCUGUCUCUUAUAC